rnacentral:misc_RNA from 1 species
ACACCCUCAAGCUCUGCUUGGUGUUGGGCGUCUGUCCCGCUACUCCGUGUGGACUCGUCCUAAAGUUAUUGGCGGCGGUCUUGCCAGCUUCUCGCGCAGCAGUUCGCGCUUCUCGAGGCAAAGGAAGGCACGCAUCCAUAAGUCUCAUCUCCAUGAC